CAUGUUGCCGUCUUCUGUAGUAAUUUAUGUUGCUAUCCUACACAAAGCAGUGAAGAAGCAAUGCCUUUUUCACCGUCUUGUCUAUGAAGGAAUGUCAAAAGUAAAUGGUCAAGCUUACAACGACGUUCUCUUCAUUGGCUUGGUGUUGACUCGGGCGUUUCUACACAUUUGUGCAGACGGACUGCUGCAGUUACCGUCCAUGGCCACAAGAUGGCGGCAAAUGUUAGCGCUACAACAGCAGGACGAGACGCUAUUUGGACGCAUGUUCGAUUCCCAGAACUGUCACGACUUUUAAUGAAGCAAAUAAUGUGAGUUUGAACAUUUUUGUCGUUUGAAAAGAAUCAGGCUGUUUUUAAAAGACACAAUGUGGACCAAAGUAACCGGAACACAUAUUUUGACGAACUGUCUGUGGGAAUUUGUGACGUCACAGCUCGCUAAUGUUGGACAAGUUCUUAGUUCUUGUCUGAAAAGAACUGAAAACUUUGCGGUCCCGGUCGAUUGAAGUGAUCGAUCAGGAGCAGCGUGUGUGCCCUUGAAAGUCCACAAGGGCUUUGCUCAGUGGCUCUGGGCGUAGGAGGCGGGGACCACCAGGGCGCCCCUGGAGGCCCACUCCGCCCACAUCCUGCCGGCGGUCUGAUACGUGCGCUCCGUCUUCGCCGACUCUGACGUGGCGGUCUCGGCCAGG